AACGCAUCUUGCACUGUGCUUGCACAGUAUGUCUGUUUGAGAAUCUAUUGUACCCUUGUGCGGUCUUUGCUGCACAGAACUGGGGCGUCUCCUGCGAAGGGGUGCUCUGAAAAACAGCUGCUCCGGUCUUUCCGGCGCGCAGUGCUAGAGUGGAACACUUGUUUCUCGCAGCGCAGCGUGAGGCAGUCUCUCGGUCUUUAUUAAAGACCGCGACGCAGGCCUUUGGCUUGAACACUUGGUCUCAAAUCAGGCAGGAGGACCCGCUGAACUUAA
rnacentral:misc_RNA from 1 species